rnacentral:rRNA from 1 species
AGGGUUUGAUCCUGGCUCAGGACGAACGCUGGCGGCGCGCCUAACACAUGCAAGUCGAACGGAGAAUACAGACGGAAGUUUUCGGACGGAAGGCUGUAGACUUAGUGGCGGACGGGUGAGUAACACGUGAGCAACCUGCCCUAGAGAGGGGGAUAACGUCUGGAAACGGACGCUAAUACCGCAUAACAUCACACUUUCGCAUGGGAGAGUGAUCAAAGGAGGAAUCCGCUUUAGGAUGGGCUCGCGUCCGAUUAGAUAGUAGGCGGGGUAACGGCCCACCUAGUCGACGAUCGGUAGCCGGACUGAGAGGUUGAACGGCCACAUUGGGACUGAGACACGGCCCAG